rnacentral:rRNA from 1 species
UACGGAGGGAGCUAGCGUUGUUCGGAAUUACUGGGCGUAAAGCGCGCGUAGGCGGCCUUGCAAGUUAGAGGUGAAAGCCCGGAGCUCAACUCCGGAACUGCCUUUAAAAACUGCAUAGCUUGAAUCCGGGAGAGGUGAGUGGAAUUCCGAGUGUAGAGGUGAAAUUCGUAGAUAUUCGGAAGAACACCAGUGGCGAAGGCGGCUCACUGGACCGGUAUUGACGCUGAGGUGCGAAAGCGUGGGGAGCAAACAGG